rnacentral:rRNA from 1 species
AACGUAGGAGACAAACGUUAUCCGGAGUUACUGGGCGUAAAGGGCGUGUAGGUGGUUUUGUAAGUCUGGCGUGAAAUUUUUCGGCUUAACCGGGAAAGGUCGUCGGAUACUGCAGGACUAGAGGACGGUAGAGGCGUGUGGAAUUCCGGGUGGAGUGGUGAAAUGCGUAGAGAUCCGGAGGAACACCAAAGGCGAAGGCAGUGUCCUGGGGAGUACCUGACGCUCAGGUGCGAAAGCCAGGGGAGCGAACGGG